GCGGGUAUCGUUCAACGGUAGGAUGUCUGCCUUCCAAGCAGAAGAUGUGGGUUCGAUUCCCACUACCCGCA
rnacentral:tRNA from 1 species